ensembl:lncRNA
AAAAUCACUAUAAAAGCAGCAGCAGUGGUGGAAAUAUAUUAGCAUUAAUUAAACGCAGCACCGAAGCAGCCGUAAACAUAACAAAUGUCAGAUGAGUCGUGUUGAGGAGGCAGAUUGUCAAUGUCAAUACUUUAAACAGCUGCAGCAGAAACCAAAGCAAACAACAGCCACCAGGAAGAAACUUCAACACCAACGUCCCAACAUCCCAUUUCACUGGCUACGGUUCAACUAAGAACCGGAGGAGGAGGAAGAGGAGACGCUGCUGCAGGAGCUGAGCUCUGCUCCUCCCUCUGCCUGCAGGUCCAGAGCUGAAGCCGGAUCAGGACCAAACUGAGAGCGGUUCUGUAGAGUCUGCAUGAGUCCUGAUCUCUAAGUGAUUAAUAACUAAUCAAACGUUCCUCACAGUAACGUCUGAUGAACACGAUCCCUUAUGGAGGGAACCAGCAUGCUGAGUCCUCACGUGAUCUGGUCUCCACUAAAGGCUCAAACCUGCAGAGCUGCUGCUGUUCUCACACGUUCUCACCACAACGCUUCCUCUUCACCUCCGAGGAAACAACCACAAGAUGCAAAGAGGAGGAAACUCAUCCUCGGAGCUCCAACACGUCAUCUCUAUGAGCACGACGAGGAAGUGACGCUGUGCAACCAGAGGAAGCAGAAGCUGCAUCUGUGAGGAAGAAGCACUCGGUCAGACGCCUUGAGGAGCAGAGACACCAUGGUGGAACUCAGAGGGACUCAAAGGACUUUAUGUGUGAUGCUGCUGCUGCUUCAGGCUGCAGUAAGAGGACAAACCCCCCCUGACCCCCGCUUCCUCGUCAGAGCCGGAGAUGACGUCACUUUGCCUUCUAAUCAGGACAGAUGUGACGGUUCUACUUGGCUUUACAGUCGUAGUGGAUCAACUGUGGAGCUGGUUACACUUGGGAAGUUUAGAAAUAACGCUUUGAUUCCAGAAGCUAAAACCAACAGACUGAGUUUGACAGCAAACUGUUCUCUGGUUAUAAGAAACGUCUCAGGUGAAGAUGUUGGUCGUUACAUCAACAGACAUUAUGAUGAAACAGAAAAACAACAAGGUCCAGAUGGUGUGGUCUCUCUGUACGUGUUUACAAUGGAGGAAAAGGACUACGGGGGUUCGGUUGAGUUGUCCUGCUUUGUGUUGAGAUCCUCUGAGUGUGAACACACAGUAAAGUGGCUUUAUGACGGCAAACAGACUGAUGUGAUGACGACAUCACACGCUGCUUGUGAAGCUACUGUGACGUUUAAAGCUCCUCUUCAUCAGAAGUCAAAGUAUUAUAAGUCACUGAGAUGUGAAGUGAGAAACAAUCAGAGUGGAAAAACUCUGCUGUUUGAAGCCUGCAGUCAGUUCUCAUGUGAACAAACAGGAGGCCCAUCGGGGGAGGACAACAUUACACCACCUGCACAGAGCGACUCUCCAACCAGCCAAAGCUGGUGGAGGUUCAUCAUUCUGGCUGCAGCGACGGUGGUUGUUCUUGUUGUGUUGUUCUUCACAUGGAAGAGAUCUAAAGGGAGAGAAACCCGGAUGGACGUCAACGAAGUGAGUUUAAAAAAUGAAACCAAACGCUGUGUUUGUGAUGAUUCACUAGUUUAUAAGAAGAAUAAAGUGAGGCCUGUAUCACCGAGUGAGUCCAACAUAACAGGGAUUCUUCUUCUCGUCUUCAGCACUGAUGCUGCUUCAUCUGCUCCCUUUGUCUCAGAGUCUCAGGUGUUGCUGCUCACAGGUGCAGCGUGAAGAUGGAGACGAAGGUGCAGUGGUCUAUGAAAACGUUGGAGAACCUUCAGCUUCUGUCAGACUCUGAUCCACAGCUUCUAGAUCCACGCGCAGAGACGGGAGAUCAACCCUGUGACGUCAGUUCCAGUGUUUUAUUUGGCAUUUUAAGAUAAAGGGUUUAUAUUGACAUGUUUUCAUUAAUAGUUUCUCUGACAUUCAAACUUCUUCCUGCUAUGAAAGACACGGUGGAGUGACGUCAUCCACGUGCUCUCAUGAUGAAUUAUGCUCCUUUGAGGUUAAACUUUGUCUCUUUUUCUUCUUCUACAUGUCUGCUGUUUGUCUAACGUGUUUGAUUCACAUUGUUGGGUUUGAACGAGUUGUCAGCCUUAAUAAAGUCGCUUUUAUUGAUGAGAAAUAUGAAACAAAUAAAAUAAGAAUGUGCUUGAUAUGGACUCAUCCGUUGUGUUUUGUUUAAGGGAACCAGUGAAAGUCCAUAUUCUUUAUUUAGGUUCUACUCGAUGACCCAGAAGGUAACGCUGUCCUCACGUUGUUUCUGUCCAGCAGAGACUUUACCUCCAUCGCUCAUUUUAUGCUCCUGCUUCAUCCACAUCGACUCUGAUUCAAAUCCACUUAGAGAAUAAUUUGUUUACAUUUGUUACACCAUUAAAAAAGACUCAGUUGGAGAUUCUCAUUGGUCGAUUCUUCCGCCAAUUUUUCAAAUUAAACACACUAACUGUAUUUAGUAAAAGUCUUUAAUCAUCAUUAUUCAGAAGCCACAAAUUCCUUUAUGGAAGUAAAUCAGUUUUAAACAUUGUUGUUUUUGUGAGCUGGGACUUAAAACCAAAAAGUAACUUUAGCAUUAAUCCAAAAUUAGACUAGGGACACUUUUUAAAUGUGGCACCAGUUAACAGAACGAUGUCAGAGUGAUCACAUGACAUGUGAGCAUGCUUCAUGUUCAGGAAGGAGUCCUGUGAUAAAAC